rnacentral:rRNA from 2 species
UUGGUGCCUUCGGGAACUCUGAGACAGGUGCUGCAUGGCUGUCGUCAGCUCGUGUUGUGAAAUGUUGGGUUAAGUCCCGCAACGAGCGCAACCCUUAUCCUUUGUUGCCAGCGGUUCGGCCGGGAACUCAAAGGAGACUGCCAGUGAUAAACUGGAGGAAGGUGGGGAUGACGUCAAGUCAUCAUGGCCCUUACGAGUAGGGCUACACACGUGCUACAAUGGCGUAUACAAAGAGAAGCGACCUCGCGAGAGCAAGCGGACCUCAUAAAGUACGUCGUAGUCCGGAUUGGAGUCUGCAACUCGACUCCAUGAAGUCGGAAUCGCUAGUAAUCGUAGAUCAGAAUGCUACGGUGAAUACGUUCCCGGGCCUUGUACACACCGCCCGUCACACCAUGGGAGUGGGUUGCAAAAGAAGUAGGUAGCUUAACCUUCGGGAGGGCGCUUACCACUUUGUGAUUCAUGACUGGGGUGAAGUCGUAACAAGGUAACCGUAGGGGAACCUGCGGUUGGAUCACCUCCUUA